rnacentral:rRNA from 1 species
UACGUAGGGGGCAAGCGUUGUCCGGAAUCAUUGGGCGUAAAGAGCGUGUAGGCGGUCCGAUAAGUCCGCUCUGAAAGCCCGGGGCUCAACCCCGGGAGGCGGGCGGAUACUGUCGGGCUAGAGUCCGGAAGAGGCAAGUGGAAUUCCUGGUGUAGCGGUGGAAUGCGCAGAUAUCAGGAGGAACACCGAUGGCGAAGGCAGCUCGCUGGGACGGUACUGACGCUGAGGCGCGAAAGCGUGGGGAGCGAACAGG